rnacentral:rRNA from 1 species
CCGCAGUAGUCAUAUGCUUGUCUCAAAGAUUAAGCCAUGCAUGUCUAAGUACAUGCCGUAUUAAGGCGAAACCGCGAAUGGCUCAUUAAAUCAGUUAUGGUUCCUUGGAUCGUACCUUACUACUUGGAUAACUGUGGCAAUUCUAGAGCUAAUACAUGCAGCAGAGCUCCGACCUUCGGGGACGAGCGCUUUUAUUAGACCAAAACCAAUCGGUCCUCGUGGCCGUUGAACGUGGUGACUCUGUAUAACUUUUGGCUGAUCGCACGGGCUCGUCCCGGCGACGUAUCUUUCAAGUGUCUGCCUUAUCAACUGUCGAUGGUAUGUUACGUGCCUACCAUGGUCGUUACGGGUAACGGGGAAUCAGGGUUCGAUUCCGGAGAGGGAGCCUGAGAAACGGCUACCACAUCCAAGGAAGGCAGCAGGCGCGCAAAUUACCCACUCCCGGAACGGGGAGGUAGUGACGAAAAAUAACAAUACGGGACUCUUUUGAGACCCCGUAAUUGGAAUGAGUACACUCUAAAUCCUUUAACGAGGAUCCAUUGGAGGAUAAGUCUGGUGUCAGCACCCGCGGUAACUCCAGUUCCAAUAGCGUAUAUUAAAGUUGUUGCGGUUAAAAAGCUCGUAGUUGGAUCUCAGUUCCAGUCGGGUGGUCCGCCUACCGGUGGUCACUGCCUGUGCUGAACAACGACGCCGGUUUCCUUUGAUGAUCUUCAUCGGUUGUCUUUGGUGACCGGCAAGUUUACUUUGAAAAAAUUGGGGUGCUCAAAGCAGGCUGAAUGCCUGAAUAAUGGUGCAUGGAAUAAUGGAAUAGGACCUCUGUUCUAUUUUGUUGGUUUUCGGAUCACGAGGUAAUGAUUGAGAGGGACAGACGGGGGCAUUCGUACUGCGACGCUAGAGGUGAAAUUCUUGGACCGUCGCAUGAC